UCCCUGGCAGUCCAGUGGUUAAGUCUCUGCACUUCCAAUGCAGGGGGCCCAGGUUUGAUACCUGGUCAAGGAA
rfam:Ovis aries breed Texel chromosome 3, whole genome shotgun sequence.